AGGAUUAACGCUAGCGGCAGGCCUAAUACAUGCAAGUCGAACGGCAGCGGGUCCAGCAAUGGAUGCCGGCGAGUGGCGCACGGGUGCGUAACGCGUAUGCAAUCUACCUUUAACUGGAGGAUAGCCCCGAGAAAUCGGGAUUAAUACUCCAUACGAUUGAGAAGGGGCAUCUCUUUUCAAUGAAAGCUCCGGCGGUUUUAGAUGAGCAUGCGUGACAUUAGCUUGUUGGUGAGGUAACGGCUCACCAAGGCGACGAUGUCUAGGGGUUCUGAGAGGAUUCUCCCCCACACUGGUACUGAGACACGGACCAGACUCCUACGGGAGGCAGCAGUAAGGAAUAUUGGGCAAUGGGCGCAAGCCUGACCCAGCCAUGCCGCGUGAAGGAUGACGGCCCUACGGGUUGUAAACUUCUUUUGUACGGGAAAAAACCCCCGGUCGUGUACCGGGGUUGAUGGUACUGUAAGAAUAAGCAUCGGCUAACUCCGUGCCAGCAGCCGCGGUAAUACGGAGGAUGCAAGCGUUAUCCGGAUUCAUUGGGUUUAAAGGGUGCGCAGGCGGAUUGGUAAGUCAGUGGUGAAAUCCUACGGCUCAACUGUAGAACUGCCAUUGAUACUACCAAUCUUGAGUACACUUGAAGUGGGCGGAAUGUGUCAUGUAGCGGUGAAAUGCUUAGAUAUGACACAGAACACCGAUCGCGAAGGCAGCUCACUAAAUUGUAACUGACGCUCAUGCACGAAAGCGUGGGGAUCAAACAGGAUUAGAUACCCCGGUAGUCCACGCUGUAAACGAUGAUCACUCGAUGUUGGCGAUACACUGUCAGCGUCUAAGCGAAAGCAUUAAGUGAUCCACCUGGGGAGUACGGCCCGCAGGGUGAAACUC
rnacentral:rRNA from 1 species